GGAGUGAUAGGGACACGCUCGUGCCGACUAGCGAGAGGGUUUGCCGAGUGGAUGUCACGGUCACAGGUAACACAGAGAGCAGCUGCGUCUGCCUUGCAGGUGAAAUGGGCUGGGGCUUGUUCACAGACUUCGCAGACCGGGACACGCGCGUGGCGAGAGGCAAGCUUGUUUGCCGCGUGGAUUUUAGAGUCGCAGCUGAUGCAUAGAAAAGCUGAGUCAGCUCGACAAAACAACGUUGCUGUUGCUGACUUGCAUGAGUCACAGAGCUUUGAAGCCAUUGAGGAAGAAGAGGAGGAGGAGUACGAAGGCUUUAAGCUUCUCUUCUGUAGUGUUGUGCCUUCG
rnacentral:lncRNA from 1 species